CGACGGUGCUUAACAUGCAGUCGAACGGUGAUGCCCAGCUUGCUGGGCGGAUCAGUGGCGAACGGGUGAGUAACACGUGAGUAACCUGCCCCAGACUCCGGGAUAAGCCUUGGAAACGAGGUCUAAUACUGGAUAUGAGAUGCCCCUGCAUGGGGAGUGUCUGGAAAGAUUUAUCGGUCUGGGAUGGACUCGCGGCCUAUCAGCUUGUUGGUGGGGUAAUGGCCUACCAAGGCGACGACGGGUAGCCGGCCUGAGAGGGCGACCGGCCACACUGGGACUGAGACACGGCCCAGACUCCUACGGGAGGCAGCAGUGGGGAAUAUUGCACAAUGGGCGAAAGCCUGAUGCAGCGACGCCGCGUGAGGGAUGAAGGCCUUCGGGUUGUAAACCUCUUUCAGCAGGGAAGAAGCGCAAGUGACGGUACCUGCAGAAGAAGCGCCGGCUAACUACGUGCCAGCAGCCGCGGUAAUACGUAGGGCGCAAGCGUUGUCCGGAAUUAUUGGGCGUAAAGAGCUCGUAGGCGGUUUGUCGCGUCUGGUGUGAAAACUCAAGGCUCAACCUUGAGCUUGCAUCGGGUACGGGCAGACUAGAGUGCGGUAGGGGUGACUGGAAUUCCUGGUGUAGCGGUGGAAUGCGCAGAUAUCAGGAGGAACACCGAUGGCGAAGGCAGGUCACUGGGCCGCAACUGACGCUGAGGAGCGAAAGCAUGGGGAGCGAACAGGAUUAGAUACCCUGGUAGUCCAUGCCGUAAACGUUGGGCACUAGGUGUGGGGCUCAUUCCACGAGUUCCGUGCCGCAGCAAACGCAUUAAGUGCCCCGCCUGGGGAGUACGGCCGCAAG
rnacentral:rRNA from 1 species